rnacentral:rRNA from 1 species
GACGUAGGGCGCGAGCGUUGUCCGGAGUUAUUGGGCGUAAAGCGCUCGUAGGCGGCUCAUUGCGUCCACCGUGAAAACCAGCAGCUCAACUGUUGGCUUGCGGUUGAUACGGGUGGGCUGGAGUUCGGUAGGGGAGAAUGGAAUUCCUGGUGUAGCGGUGAAAUGCGCAGAUAUCAGGAGGAACACCGGUGGCGAAGGCGGGUGUCUGGGCCGAUACUGACGCUGAGGAGCGAAAGCGUGGGGAGCGAACAGG